rnacentral:rRNA from 1 species
UACGUAGGAGACGAGCGUUGUCCGGAGUUACUGGGCGUAAAGCGUGCGCAGGCGGUUUGCUAAGAGAGAUGUGAAAGCCCCGGGCUCAACCUGGGAAUGGCCAUGGAAACUGGCGAACUGGAGUGUGGCAGAGGGGGGUGGAAUUCCGCGUGUAGCAGUGAAAUGCGUAGAGAUGCGGAGGAACACCGAUGGCGAAGGCAGCCCCCUGGGCUAGCACUGACGCUCAGGCACGAAAGCGUGGGGAGCAAACAGG